rnacentral:lncRNA from 1 species
UUGAAAGUUGAAACUGAAUUUAACUAUCCAAAUAUCCACAUUUUUGUUUCCUCAGUUUUAUUGUCUUUAUCUAGUAGUUAUAGUAUUUACUAAUUAUUUGCUGACAAAAAAAAAGUAUGUACUAAUUAUAUGUAAUGUUGAUUUUAUCAUUUUCGGUAAAUAGAACCAAAAAAAAAAGAAAAAAAAGAAAACAAAAUCUGAAUCUAUCAUGAUUUCUUUAUGUUGUUUGUUUUCAAUACUAUUUUUU